rnacentral:rRNA from 1 species
GAUGAACGCUGACAGAAUGCUUAACACAUGCAAGUCUACUUGAAUUUGGGUUUUUUAACUUAGAUUUGGGUGGCGGACGGGUGAGUAACGCGUAAAGAACUUGCCUCACAGUUAGGGACAACAUUUGGAAACGAAUGCUAAUACCUGAUAUUAUGAAUAUAUGGCAUCAUAUAAUUAUGAAAGCUAUAAGCGCUGUGAGAGAGCUUUGCGUCCCAUUAGCUAGUUGGAGAGGUAACGGCUCACCAAGGCGAUGAUGGGUAGCCGGCCUGAGAGGGUGAACGGCCACAAGGGGACUGAGACACGGCCCUUACGCCUACGGGAGGCAGCAGUGGGGAAUAUUGGACAAUGGACCAAGAGUCUGAUCCAGCAAUUCUGUGUGCACGAUGACGUUUUUCGGAAUGUAAAGUGCUUUCAGUUGGGAAGAAAAAAAUGACGGUACCAACAGAAGAAGUGACGGCUAAAUACGUG